AUGUCAGCGUCUGUCAGGACAAGUGACUUUCCCUCCGAGUGGAAGGGGUCCGAGGCCCUUGGUCUGCCUCCAGGGCUUGUCCUGUCGGCCUGGCCUGCCCCUGUCCCCACGCGCCUCGGGAUGCCAGGAGGACACACGGGGAGCUGUGGGGCACCCUCUCUGCCUGGUCACACACGUCCUGCUGGUCUGCACCCUCCUGCUCACCUCCUGCCUCAGGGACCUGGAGCUGAGGAGCCAACACCAGUCUGUCCCCGUCUCCUGAGGUCUGUCGCCGUGUCCCACUCAGGGAGGACCCCGGGGGAGGCUGGCGGGUCCGAAGUGUCAGUGUCCAUCUUGUCCCCUUGCCUGGCCCCGGGAGUGAUUCUCUUGGAGAUUCUCCUCCACUGGGUAGAGGGUGGAGAGGUGGAGGGGGGACCUCCUGUCCCAAAGUGUCCUCCUGGAGAGACUGAGCCUUUCAGGGUUUCUGCCCACCCUGGUCCUUUCCCCGCGAGGACAGAGGUUGGGGGACAGCAUCACUUUUUAGCUUUGGCCACCGUCUUCAGAGUGUGUGUGUAUGCACACUUGUGUGUACAUGCGCAUGUUUGUGCAUGUGUGCAUACGUGUCCACAUGCUUGUGUGCACGUGUGCAAAUGCACACACGUGCACAGGUGCUUGUACAGGCAUGUACAUGCGGGUGUACGUGUGCUUGUGCAUGCAGGUAUAUGUGUGUUUGUGCAUGCAUGCAUACAUGUGCACAGUGCUUGUACAUGCAUGUGCAUGCGGGUGUAUGUGUGCGCAGUGCUUGUGCAUGUGUGUAUGAGUGUGUGCAUGUGCUUAUACAUAUGCACAUAUAUGCAUACGUGUGCAUGUGCGUAUGCAUACAGUGCUUGUAUGUGUGCUUGUCCAUGCGUGUAUGCAUACAUGUGUAUAUGUGAUUGUACAUGUGUGCGUUGCUUGUACAUUGCACAUGCAGGUGUGUUACGUGUGCUUGUGCAUGGAGGCGUGUGUGCGCUUGCGAGCCUGUGUGGACUGUGGGGAGCUGUGCGCUUCCUCCCUAGGCUUGGCUCUCAGCUGCCAUCAGGCCCGAGCCCCGUUCAGCAGCGCGCUACUGUACAUGACCUGCUUUGCAAAUACACUUCCAGCUUCUCCUGGCUUCGUCUGGACCGUGCCUCCACGUCCUCCCGUACAGAAACUCGCAGCACGGGCCGGCCGGUGUGCGAGCAUUAG
rnacentral:lncRNA from 1 species